GGGCACCACCGGCGGACGGCUCAGUAACACGUCGGUAACCUACCCUCGGGAGGGGGAUAACCCCGGGAAACUGGGGCUAAUUCCCCAUAGGCCUGAGGUACUGGAAGGUCCUCAGGCCGAAAGGGACUUAUGUCCGCCCGAGGAUGGGCCGGCGGCCGAUUAGGUAGUUGGUGGGGUAAUGGCCCACCAAGCCGAAGAUCGGUACGGGCUGUGAGAGCAGGAGCCCGGAGAUGGACACUGAGACACGGGUCCAGGCCCUACGGGGCGCAGCAGGCGCGAAACCUCCGCAAUGCGGGAAACCGCGACGGGGGGACCCCGAGUGCCGUGGCAACGCCACGGCUUUUCCGGAGUGUAAAAAGCUCCGGGAAUAAGGGCUGGGCAAGGCCGGUGGCAGCCGCCGCGGUAAUACCGGCGGCCCGAGUGGUGGCCGCUAUUAUUGGGCCUAAAGCGUCCGUAGCCGGGCCCGUAAGUCCCUGGCGAAAUCCCACGGCUCAACCGUGGGGCUUGCUGGGGAUACUGCGGGUCUUGGGACCGGGAGAGGCGGGGGGUACCCCUGGGGUAGGGGUGAAAUCCUAUAAUCCCAGGGGGACCGCCAGUGGCGAAAGGCGCCCCGCUGGAACGGGUCCGACGGUGAGGGACGAACGCCAGGGGAGCAAACCGGAUUAGAUACCCGGGUAGUCCUGGCUGUAAAGGAUGCGGGCUAGUGUCGGGUGAGCCUCGAGCUCGCCCGGUGCCGUAGGAAGCCGUUAAGCCC
rnacentral:rRNA from 1 species